CCUACGGGAGGCAGCAGUAGGGAAUCUUGCGCAAUGGGCGAAAGCCUGACGCAGCGACGCCGCGUGAGUGAUGAAGGCCUUCGGGUUGUAAAGCUCUGUGGGGAGAGAAGAAUAAGUGCAGGCUAACACUCUGCAUGAUGACGGUAUCUCCUUAGCAAGCACCGGCUAACUCUGUGCCAGCAGCCGCGGUAAGACAGAGGGUGCAAACGUUGUUCGGAAUCACUGGGCGUAAAGCGCGUGUAGGCGGCUUCUCAAGUCGGGUGUGAAAUCCCAGGGCUCAACCCUGGAAGUGCAUUCGAAACUGGGUGGCUAGAGUACUGGAGAGGAAGGUGGAAUGCUUGGUGUAGAGGUGAAAUUCGUAGAUAUCAAGCGGAACACCGGUGGCGAAGGCGGCCUUCUGGACAGAUACUGACGCUGAGACGCGAAAGCGUGGGGAGCAAACAGGAUUAGAUACCCUGGUAGUCCACGCCGUAAACGAUGAGUGCUAGAUGUCAGGAGCUUUGACCCUCUUGGCGUCGUAGCUAACGCAAUAAGCACUCCGCCUGGGGAGUACGGCCGCAAGGCUAAAACUCAAAUGAAUUGACGGGG
rnacentral:rRNA from 1 species